AUGAAGAGUGCGGGAGAGAGUCUUGUAAAAGGCCGCCGAAGGGACAAACCGGUGCAUGAGCCUAGUGUAGUGGUGAAAUUUUCAGGCAAAAGAGCUGCAUUUGGACA
rnacentral:ncRNA from 2 species